CUGUAGCUAAACCGUGCAUGCAGUCAUUGAGCUCUACAAAUGUAUUCUGGAGGUCAGAAGUCCAAAACCAAAGCGUCAAUAGGGCUGUCCCCUCCUUGAUGACUCCAGGGGAGAAUCUGUCCCCUGACCCUUCCAGCUUCCGGUGGCCCACAGCACUUCCAGUCUUUGCUUCCGUGGUCACAUUGCUGCCGCCUCUUCUGUCAAAUCUUCCUCUGCCUCAUUCGUAUAAAGACACUUGUCACUGGAUUAUUUAAACUCCUGUGGAUAAUCCUGGAUAAGCAGCCUCUUGAAAAAUCCUUAACGUCAUCCCAUCGUUUGCCAUAUCAGGUAAUACUUUUUUUUUUUUUUUGCCAUAUAAGGUAAUAAUCACAGGUUUUGGGGGGAUUAGAAUGUGGACAGAUUUUUUUUUUUAAGAUUUUCUUUAUUUAUUUGAGAGGGAGAGAAAGAGAGCAUGAGCAGGGGGAGAGGCAGAGGAAGAGGCAGACUCCCCACUGAGCAGGAAGCCCAACACGGGACUCGAUCCCAGCACCCUGAGGUAGUGACAGA
rnacentral:lncRNA from 1 species